GUGGGGAAUAUUGGGCAAUGGGCGCAAGCCUGACCCAGCAACGCCGCGUGAAGGAAGAAGGCUUUCGGGUUGUAAACUUCUUUUACCAGGGACGAAACAAAUGACGGUACCUGGUGAAUAAGCCACGGCUAACUACGUGCCAGCAGCCGCGGUAAUACGUAGGUGGCGAGCGUUAUCCGGAUUUAUUGGGUGUAAAGGGCGUGUAGGCGGGACAGCAAGUCAGAUGUGAAAACCAGAGGCUCAACCUCUGGCCUGCAUUUGAAACUGUUGUUCUUGAGUGUCGGAGAGGUAAUCGGAAUUCCGUGUGUAGCGGUGAAAUGCGUAGAUAUACGGAGGAACACCAGUGGCGAAGGCGGAUUACUGGACGAUAACUGACGCUGAGGCGCGAAAGCGUGGGGAGCAAACAGGAUUAGAAACCCGAGUAGUCC
rnacentral:rRNA from 1 species